rnacentral:rRNA from 1 species
AUACAGGGUGACAGCCCCGUACACAAAAAUGCACAUGCUGUGAGCUCGAUGAGUAGGGCGGGACACGUGGUAUCCUGUCUGAAUAUGGGGGGACCAUCCUCCAAGGCUAAAUACUCCUGACUGACCGAUAGUGAACCAGUACCGUGAGGGAAAGGCGAAAAGAACCCCGGCGAGGGGAGUGAAAAAGAACCUGAAACCGUGUACGUACAAGCAGUGGGAGCACGCUUAGGCGUGUGACUGCGUACCUUUUGUAUAAUGGGUCAGCGACUUAUAUUCUGUAGCAAGGUUAACCGAAUAGGGGAGCCGAAGGGAAACCGAGUCUUAACUGGGCGUUAAGUUGCAGGGUAUAGACCCGAAACCCGGUGAUCUAGCCAUGGGCAGGUUGAAGGUUGGGUAACACUAACUGGAGGACCGAACCGACUAAUGUUGAAAAAUUAGCGGAUGACUUGUGGCUGGGGGUGAAAGGCCAAUCAAACCGGGAGAUAGCUGGUUCUCCCCGAAAGCUAUUUAGG